rnacentral:lncRNA from 1 species
AAGAAAUACUGGAGGGAUGUAAUUAGACAUGACAUGGAGCAGCUUCAGCUUACUGAGGACAUGACCCUAGAUAGGAAGGUGUGGAGGUCGAGGAUAAGGGUAGAAGGCUAGUGUUAGUGUGUGGGUUGUAGCAAGCAGUCAGGAGAGUUCUUGUGUAGACGAGUUAGUAAUCAUAGGACAAUGUACAUAGGUGUCUUUGGUAUGU